GGAAAGGGUGCGACGGAACCCGCGGGCCCCGGACCGCCGCGCCCUCUCCCUUCCGCGGCGCCCGGGGACGGGCCCCAGAGGUGUCGCCCGUGAAAAGUGGAGCGUCCCAGGUUUCAACCAAGAUGGCAACAUAACAAGCUCCUAAACUUCCACCUUCAUGGGCACACAGGUGAAUGAGAAAAAAAUACAUCAAAACAGAUUUCCAUUAGAUAUUGGGAAUUUCUUCCAAGGACAACAGGCAAAAAUCAUUGCAAAGCUCUGAAUGCUUUCAUCUUGAUGGAGCUGCAGCAGACAUCUCACAAUCAUGGCAACCAACCAAUAUAAUCAGGGACAUUGGCCAUUCAACUAGCAACUUCCUGCUUAUAAG